rnacentral:lncRNA from 1 species
UCGGGGCACAACCUUGCGCUAAAUGUAAGAUAUAAUUUAGCUGCGUGCUCGGGACACGACCUUACACUAAAUGUCAGAAAUUAUUUAGCUGCGUGCUCGGGGCACAGCCUUAUGCUAAAUGUCAAAGUUGAUUUAGCUGCGUGCUCGGGGCACGGCCUUACGCUAAAUGUAUAUUGAAAAAACCAAUGCUAGGGCUCGACUUCAAUAAUGAGAAAAACACGAGUUAAGGCUCGC